rnacentral:rRNA from 1 species
GUGCCAGCAGCCGCGGUAAUACGUAGGGGGCGAGCGUUGUCCGGAUUUAUUGGGCGUAAAGAGCUCGUAGGCGGUUUGGUAAGUCGGGUGUGAAAUCUCCACGCUCAACGUGGAGGGGCCACUCGAUACUGCCCUGACUAGAGUCCGGUAGAGGAGUAUGGAAUUCCCGGUGUAGCGGUGAAAUGCGCAGAUAUCGGGAGGAACACCAGUAGCGAAGGCGGUACUCUGGGCCGGAACUGACGCUGAGGAGCGAAAGCGUGGGGAGCAAACAGGAUUAGAUACCCGGGUAGUCC